rnacentral:rRNA from 1 species
AACGAACGCUGGCGGCAGGCUUAACACAUGCAAGUCGAGCGCAAGUUGGAGAGCUUGCUCUUCAACUUUAGCGGCGGACGGGUGAGUAACACGUGGGCAACCUGCCCUGCAGAUCGGGAUAACUCCGGGAAACCGGUGCUAAUACCGAAUAGUUUUCGCCACCUCCUGGUGGCGUACGGAAAGACGGUUUCGGCUGUCACUGCAGGAUGGGCCCGCGGCGCAUUAGCUAGUUGGUGGGGUAACGGCCCACCAAGGCGACGAUGCGUAGCCGACCGGAGAGGGUGAUCGGCCACACUGGGAGUGAGACACGGCCCAGACUCCUACGGGAGGCAGCAGUAGGGAAUCUUCCGCAAUGGACGAAAGUCUGAUGGAGCAACGCCGCGUGAGUGACGAAGGUUUUCGGAUCGUAAAACUCUGUUGUGAGGGAAGAACAAGUACCAAUUAACUACUGGUACCUUGACGGUACCUCACCAGAAAGCCACGGCUAACUACGUGCCAGCAGCCGCCGUAAUAC